CUGAUCCCACCGAGGAGUCCAGCUCCCUCUGCAAUCCGACCAGGGGUUUGAAACACUUCCAAACACCUAGCGCUUGACACUUGGACAGGGUGGUGAUGGAGAGGCUGACAGACAAGUUCGGUGGCUCAGGAGCUCGGAGUUUUCGGACGG